rnacentral:rRNA from 1 species
GGCGGCAGCCUACACAUGCAAGUCGAGCGGUUGAAGGAAGCUUGCUUCCUGAUUCAGCGGCGGACGGGUGAGUAAUGCCUAGGAAUCUGCCUGGUAGUGGGGGACAACGUUUCGAAAGGAACGCUAAUACCGCAUACGUCCUACGGGAGAAAGCAGGGGACCUUCGGGCCUUGCGCUAUCAGAUGAGCCUAGGUCGGAUUAGCUAGUUGGUGAGGUAAUGGCUCACCAAGGCGACGAUCCGUAACUGGUCUGAGAGGAUGAUCAGUCACACUGGAACUGAGACACGGUCCAGACUCCUACGGGAGGCAGCAGUGGGGAAUAUUGGACAAUGGGCGAAAGCCUGAUCCAGCCAUGCCGCGUGUGUGAAGAAGGUCUUCGGAUUGUAAAGCACUUUAAGUUGGGAGGAAGGGCAGUAAGCGAAUACCUUGCUGUUUUGACGUUACCGACAGAAUAAGCACCGGCUAACUCUGUGCCAGCAGCCGCGGUAAU